rnacentral:rRNA from 1 species
ACGGGAGGCAGCAGUGGGGAAUAUUGCACAAUGGGGGGAACUCUGAUGCAGCAACGCCGCGUGAGUGAAGAAGGUCUUCGGAUCGUAAAACUCUGUCCUUAGGGACGAAGAAAGUGACGGUACCUAAGGAGGAAGCCCCGGCUAACUACGUGCCAGCAGCCGCGGUAAUACGUAGGGGGCGAGCGUUAUCCGGAAUUAUUGGGCGUAAAGAGUACGUAGGUGGUUUUGUAAGCGUAAGGUGAAAGCCCGGGGCUUAACUCCGGCGAGCCUUUCUUACUGCAUGGCUUGAGUGCAGGAGGGGAAAGUGGAACUCCAUGUGUAGCGGUGAAAUGCGUAGAUAUAUGGAAGAACACCGGUGGCGAAGGCGACUUUCUGGACUGUAACUGACACUGAGGUACGAAAGCGUGGGGAGCAAACAGGAUUAGAUACCCUGGUA